rnacentral:rRNA from 1 species
UACGUAGGGGGCGAGCGUUGUCCGGAUUCAUUGGGCGUAAAGGGUGCGUAGGUGGCGCGGUAAGUCGGGUGUGAAAUUUCGGAGCUUAACUCCGAAACUGCAUUCGAUACUGCCGUGCUUGAGGACUGGAGAGGAGACUGGAAUUUACGGUGUAGCAGUGAAAUGCGUAGAGAUCGUAAGGAAGACCAGUGGCGAAGGCGGGUCUCUGGACAGUUCCUGACACUGAGGCACGAAGGCCAGGGGAGCAAACGGG